rnacentral:rRNA from 1 species
AUGUGGGAAGGCCCAGACAGCCAGGAUGUUGGCUUAGAAGCAGCCAUCAUUUAAAGAAAGCGUAAUAGCUCACUGGUCGAGUCGGCCUGCGCGGAAGAUGUAACGGGGCUAAACCAUGCACCGAAGCUGCGGCAGCGACGCUUAUGCGUUGUUGGGUAGGGGAGCGUUCUGUAAGCCUGUGAAGGUGUGCUGUGAGGCAUGCUGGAGGUAUCAGAAGUGCGAAUGCUGACAUAAGUAACGAUAAAGCGGGUGAAAAGCCCGCUCGCCGGAAGACCAAGGGUUCCUGUCCAACGUUAAUCGGGGCAGGGUGAGUCGACCCCUAAGGCGAGGCCGAAAGGCGUAGUCGAUGGGAAACAGGUUAAUAUUCCUGUACUUGGUGUUACUGCGAAGGGGGGACGGAGAAGGCUAUGUUGGCCGGGCGACGGUUGUCCCGGUUUAAGCGUGUAGGCUGGUUUUCCAGGCAAAUCCGGAAAAUCAAGGCUGAGGCGUGAUGACGAGGCACUACGGUGCUGAAGCAACAAAUGCCCUGCUUCCAGGAAAAGCCUCUAAGCAUCAGGUAACAUCAAAUCGUACCCCAAACCGACACAGGUGGUCAGGUAGAGAAUACCAAGGCGCUUGAGAGAACUCGGGUGAAGGAACUAGGCAAAAUGGUGCCGUAACUUCGGGAGAAGGCACGCUGAUAUGUAGGUGAAGUCCCUUGCGGAUGGAGCUGAAAUCAGUCGAAGAUACCAGCUGGCUGCAACUGUUUAUUAAAAACACAGCACUGUGCAAACACGAAAGUGGACGUAUACGGUGUGACGCCUGCCCGGUGCCGGAAGGUUAAUUGAUGGGGUCAGCGCAAGCGAAGCUCUUGAUCGAAGCCCCGGUAAACGGCGGCCGUAACUAUAACGGUCCUAAGGUAGCGAAAUUCCUUGUCGGGUAAGUUCCGACCUGCACGAAUGGCGUAAUGAUGGCCAGGCUGUCUCCACCCGAGACUCAGUGAAAUUGAACUCGCUGUGAAGAUGCAGUGUACCCGCGGCAAGACGGAAAGACCCCGUGAACCUUUACUAUAGCUUGACACUGAACAUUGAGCCUUGAUGUGUAGGAUAGGUGGGAGGCUUUGAAGUGUGGACGCCAGUCUGCAUGGAGCCGACCUUGAAAUACCACCCUUUAAUGUUUGAUGUUCUAACGUUGACCCGUAAUCCGGGUUGCGGACAGUGUCUGGUGGGUAGUUUGACUGGGGCGGUCUCCUCCUAAAGAGUAACGGAGGAGCACGAAGGUUGGCUAAUCCUGGUCGGACAUCAGGAGGUUAGUGCAAUGGCAUAAGCCAGCUUGACUGCGAGCGUGACGGCGCGAGCAGGUGCGAAAGCAGGUCAUAGUGAUCCGGUGGUUCUGAAUGGAAGGGCCAUCGCUCAACGGAUAAAAGGUACUCCGGGGAUAACAGGCUGAUACCGCCCAAGAGUUCAUAUCGACGGCGGUGUUUGGCACCUCGAUGUCGGCUCAUCACAUCCUGGGGCUGAAGUAGGUCCCAAGGGUAUGGCUGUUCGCCAUUUAAAGUGGUACGCGAGCUGGGUUUAGAACGUCGUGAGACAGUUCGGUCCCUAUCUGCCGUGGGCGCUGGAGAACUGAGGGGGGCUGCUCCUAGUACGAGAGGACCGGAGUGGACGCAUCACUGGUGUUCGGGUUGUCAUGCCAAUGGCACUGCCCGGUAGCUAAAUGCGGAAGAGAUAAGUGCUGAAAGCAUCUAAGCACGAAACUUGCC